AGGAAAGUCCGGGCUCCAUAGGGCAGGGUGCCAGGUAACGCCUGGGAGGCGCAAGCCUACGACUAGUGCAACAGAGAGCAAACCGCCGAUGGCCCACGCAAGUGGGAUCAGGUAAGGGUGAAAGGGUGCGGUAAGAGCGCACCGCGCGACUGGCAACAGUUCGUGGCACGGUAAACUCCACCCGGAGCAAGGCCAAAUAGGGGUUCACAUGGUACGGCCCGUACUGAACCCGGGUAGGCUGCUUGAGCCAGUGAGUGAUUGCUGGCCUAGAUGAAUGACUGUCCACGACAGAACCCGGCUUAA
rnacentral:RNase_P_RNA from 1 species